UUCACCCAAGAUAUUUUUACUGGACUUCUUGGCUGCACCAGAAAUUUCCCUUGGUCAUUCUUGCUUUACUUCUUUGUUUUCUUCCUUCUUUGUUCUUAUUGGUUGCACCUUUAUCUCUUCUUUGACUUUCUCAAAGAAAGAAGACUUAAGAAACUCUUUUGCUCCCAUUUCCCACGGAUCCAUGCAAAUCAGAAAUUUGCACCUCACUUUACACUCUUUUCUCUUAAGGAAAGAGCUAGGAAGCUCUCUUAGGUCCACUUUGUCAAGUCCAUGGGUCAACAAAUUAAAAGAGAGAUAAGGCUUCAUCAUCUUUUCUUCUUUCUAAUCUUUUAAAAGCAACUAGAAUAGUUAAGAGCUCUCUCCCCCUUUCAUUCCUACGGAUCCAACAACAAAAGAAGGAAAAGCUCUCAAUUAUUUUCUCCCUUCCACACCUACAAGUCCAGCAGCAAGAAGGAAGCUUCUUUCAACUCUCUCAAGCUCUCUACCUCUAAUACUUUUGGUCUAGCCACUAGGAAAAGGAAAUCCUUUCAUGUGUUACCAGUAUCCAAGUCUAAGCUUCUUCGACUUUAGGCUCUCGGUUCCUUUGCUUUUAGGUAAGGGAUAAGUUAUAUGGGCAUUUGUUAGCAGGUUUUAUUUUGGAGCAGAGGGAGCCUUAGUCGAGUUUUGGAAGGAGCUGGUUUAGUUUUAUAUGUAUAGAUCCUAAAUUAGCAAUAUGAUGUUUAGAUUUGUAGCAUUGUUUAUUUUAGGAUCUAAUGAAAGUGUAUACCUUAAAGUAUUAAGGGAUGUAUUAUGUGAAAUUCCGAAUUUGAACAAA